GGACGAAUAGCUCCAAUGGUAGAGCACUGCGUUGAAGCCGCAGCCGUACAAGUUCGAAUCUUGUUUCGUCCA
rnacentral:tRNA from 1 species